AUUUUUCUUGCCCAGAAGUGAGAAACACCAAUAGGUUAAAAGUACUUAAAGUACUUAAAAACGGUACAAGCAAUAAAAGCACAUUAGGAGACGGGUGGGUUACGGAGAAAAUAGCCAUUCACGCGAGGGAUGCGUUUAGGUGCCUCGCGAAAUGAGGCUUUCAGAGAAUUUGCGGUCUUCAAGGGGCUUUGCAAGGCCGAAAUCCUUCUCUCGAAGCAAAAGCAGCGCAGGAGGUUAUCAUAUAAUUAACGUUCCAGAGUUGCAAUGAGAAACAGAGACUAGGGCUUCUGCGCUUUUAGUAAGCAGAAGAAAUUUCAAAAGAUGGCUGCACCGCAACUCCCUCUUCUAUUAAAAGCGCAGGAAGCAGCCCUGAAGGCUUUGCCAUUUGGCAAAGAUAUUUCAACAACAGCUCUGCCCAGAAAAGAAAUCUCGACAAAUGUCCUAACUAAUGUUAUGCCUUACGGUCGGGGCUCUUCUCAUAGACACGCCCCCUUUCUAUUCGGCCCAAUGGCAUAGUGGGUUGAUACCUGCAGCAACUGGGAGUCUGAGAUUGGUCUGAGUCUGAGAUGAGAUUCCAAAAGCGCGAUUUGAGUUGGGGCUGUUGCUAGGCGACGGAGGUUUCCAGCCAGCUUCACAACAGUUACAGUCCUCGUUCUGGGGAUCCGGGGCGGAGGAGACGCGAAGCUUCUUCUUCCUCUUUUCUACUGUCCAUUCUCGUUUAAUUCAGAGGACUGGGCAGUGCAGUCAUGAGCAGUGAUCAGCCAAAGCCACCCAACAAAGGGAAAUUAGAGAAGACUACAACAAAGUUUUUACCACAGAUUGAUAAGAUAAACUGCAAACCGCUAUGGCAUCAGAAUCCUCCUUCAUUCCAGCUACGGGGAGACAGGGACUCUUAUAUUCCAGAGGAAUUUGUGGUAAAAAAUGAACUGACACCUGGUAAGAAUAUCAUGGAUGUUUGACUAGAAUUGAUCGCCCUUUAUUUGAUCACAGCUUGUAAAAUGUCAUUAGAUAGGAUACUUUUUGUCCUCUG
rnacentral:lncRNA from 1 species